CGGGGUGUAGCGCAGCUUGGUAGCGCACUUGCAUGGGGUGCAAGGGGUCGCGAGUUCGAAUCCCGCCACUCCGA
rfam:Moraxella bovoculi 237 MBO_237Contig26, whole genome shotgun sequence.